AUACGGAGGGGGCAAGCGUUGUUCGGAAUUACUGGGCGUAAAGCGCACGUAGGCGGUUUAUCAAGUUAGGCGUGAAAGCCCUGGGCUCAACCCAGGAACUGCGUUUAAUACUGAUAAGCUAGAGACCGGGAGAGGGUGGCGGAAUUCCCAGUGUAGAGGUGAAAUUCGUAGAUAUUGGGAAGAACACCGGUUGCGAAGGCGGCCACCUGGACCGGAACUGACGCUGAGGUGCGAAAGCGUGGGGAGCAAACAGGAUUAGAAACCCCAGUAGUCC
rnacentral:rRNA from 1 species